GGACCCGCACAAGCAGCGGAGCAUGUGGUUUAAUUCGAAGCAACGCGAAGAACCUUACCAGGGCUUGACAUCCCUCUGACCGGGUGGUAACGCACCCUUCCCUUCGGGGCAGAGGAGACAGGUGGUGCAUGGUUGUCGUCAGCUCGUGUCGUGAGAUGUUGGGUUAAGUCCCGCAACGAGCGCAACCCUUGUCAUUAGUUGCCAGCAGUUCGGCUGGGCACUCUAGUGAGACUGCCGGGGAUAACUCGGAGGAAGGUGGGGAUGACGUCAAAUCAUCAUGCCCCUUAUGUUCUGGGCUACACACGUGCUACAAUGGCUGGUACAAAGAGAAGCAAGACCGCGAGGUGGAGCAAAUCUCAAAAACCAGUCCCAGUUCGGAUUGCAGGCUGCAACUCGCCUGCAUGAAGUUGGAGUUGCUAGUAAUCGCGAAUCAGAAUGUCGCGGUGAAUGCGUUCCCGGGUCUU
rnacentral:rRNA from 1 species